AUGAACGCUGGCGGCGUGCCUAAUACAUGCAAGUCGAGCGAACAGACGAGGAGCUUUCUCCUCUGACGUUAGCGGCGGACGGUUGAUUAACACGUGGAUAACCUACCUAUAAGACUGGGAUAACUUCGGUAAACCGUAGCUAAUUCCGGAUAAUAUAUUUAACCGCAUGGUUCAAUAGUUAAAUUCGGUUUUUCUUUCUCUUAUAGAUUGAUCCUCGCCGCAUUUGCUAGUUGGUAAGGUAACGGCUUACCAAGGCAACGAUGCGUAGACGACCUGAGAGGGGGAUCGGCAAAACUGGAACUGAGACACGGACCAGACGACUACGGGAGGCAGCAGAAGGGAAUAUUCGGCAAUGGGGGAAAGCAUGACGGAGAAAAGCCGAGUGAGAGAUGAAGGUCGUCGGAUCGUAAAACUCUGUUAUUAGGGAAGAACAAAUGUGUAAGUAAAUAUGAACGUAUUGACGGUACCUAAAAAGAAAGCAACGGCUAACUACGUG
rnacentral:rRNA from 1 species